rnacentral:rRNA from 1 species
ACGCGAGGAACCUUACCAGGUCUUGACAUCCUCUGACACUCCUAGAGAUAGGACGUUCCCCUUCGGGGGACAGAGUGACAGGUGGUGCAUGGUUGUCGUCAGCUCGUGUCGUGAGAUGUUGGGUUAAGUCCCGCAACGAGCGCAACCCUUGAUCUUAGUUGCCAGCAUUUAGUUGGGCACUCUAAGGUGACUGCCGGUGACAAACCGGAGGAAGGUGGGGAUGACGUCAAAUCAUCAUGCCCCUUAUGACCUGGGCUACACACGUGCUACAAUGGAUGGUACAAAGGGCUGCAAGACCGCGAGGUUUAGCCAAUCCCAUAAAACCAUUCUCAGUUCGGGUUGUAGGCUGCAACUCGCCUACAUGAAGCCGGAAUCGCUAGUAAUCGCGGAUCAGCAUGCCGCGGUGAAUACGUUCCCGGGCCUUGCACACACCGCCCGU